rnacentral:rRNA from 1 species
CGAAGGUACGGAGGGGACGAGACAAUAAAAGGUAGACAAUUACGUUUGGUGGCGGACCGGCGCGACGGGUGAGUAACGCGUAUGACCAACCUACCUAUACGAGGAAGGGGAACGUAACCCGGCGAAAGUCGGACUAAUACCGCAUAAAACAGGGGCACCGCAUGGUGAUAUUUGUUAAAGAGAUUCGCUGAUAGAUGGGCAUGCGUUCCAUUAGGUAGUUGGUGAGGUAACGGCUCACCAAGCCGACGAUGGAUAGGGGAACUGAGAGGUUGGUCCCCCACACUGGUACUGAGACACGGACCAGACUCCUACGGGAGGCAGCAGUGAGGAAUAUCGGUCAAUGGGCGGGAGCCUGAACCAGCCAAGUCCGCGUGAAGGAAGAAGGAUCUAUGGUUCGUAAACUUCUUUUGCAGGGGAAUAAAGUGCAGGACGUGUCCUGUUUUGUAUGUACCCUGAGAAUAAGGAUCGGCUAACUCCGUGCCAGCCGCGGC